GAUGAACGCUAGCGGCAGGCUUAAUACAUGCAAGUCGAGGGGGAUCAGUUGGGUAGCAAUACUCGGCUGUGAGACCGGCAAACGGGUGCGGAACACGUACGCAACUUUCCCAAAACUGGUGAAUAGCCCUCCGAAAGGAGGAUUAAUACACCGUAACAUAAUGAGAUGGCAUCAUCUUAUUAUUAUAGCUCCGGCGGUUUUGGAUGGGCGUGCGCCUGAUUAGGUAGUUGGCGGGGUAAUGGCCCACCAAGCCUACGAUCAGUAACUGGUGUGAGAGCACGACCAGUCACACGGGCACUGAGACACGGGCCCGACUCCUACGGGAGGCAGCAGUAAGGAAUAUUGGUCAAUGGACGAAAGUCUGAACCAGCCAUGCCGCGUGAAGGAUGACGGCCCUCUGGGUUGUAAACUUCUUUUAUCUGGGACGAAAAAAGAUCAUUCUUGAUCACUUGACGGUACCAGAGGAAUAAGCACCGGCUAACUCCGUG
rnacentral:rRNA from 1 species